rnacentral:rRNA from 1 species
GAUGAACGCUGGCGGCGUGCCUAAUACAUGCAAGUCGAGCGAACGGACGAGAAGCUUGCUUCUCUGAUGUUAGCGGCGGACGGGUGAGUAACACGUGGAUAACCUACCUAUAAGACUGGGAUAACUUCGGGAAACCGGAGCUAAUACCGGAUGAUAUUUUGAACCGCAUGGUUCAAAAGUGAAAGACGGUCUUGCUGUCACUUAUAGAUGGAUCCGCGCUGCAUUAGCUAGUUGGUAAGGUAACGGCUUACCAAGGCAACGAUGCAUAGCCGACCUGAGAGGGUGGUCGGCCACACUGGAACUGAGACACGGUCCAGACUCCUACGGGAGGCAGCAGUAGGGAAUCUUCCGCAAAGGGCGAAAGCAUGACGGAGCAACGCCGCGUGAGUGAUGAAGGUCUUCGGAUCGUAAAACUCUGUUAUUAGGGAAGAACAUAUGUGUAAGUAACUGUGCACAUCUUGACGGUACCUAAACAGAAAGCCACGGCUAACUACGUG